GUCAUUAAGCGAAAAAUAUCUGCUUUGGGAGCAGGAUGUCGCAGGUUCGAAUCCUGUC
rnacentral:tRNA from 1 species